rnacentral:misc_RNA from 1 species
GAUGAAGAACGCAGCGAAAUGCGAUACUUGGUGUGAAUUGCAGAAUCCCGUGAACCAUCGAGUCUUUGAACGCAAGUUGCGCCCGAAGCCAUUAGGCCGAGGGCACGCCUGCCUGGGCGUCACACGUCGUUGCCCCCCCAUCUACUCCUUCGGGAUUGCGGGGGGCGGAUGAUGGCCUCCCGUGCGCCUCGCCGCGCGGUUGGCAUAAAUGCCAAGUCCUCGGCGACGCACGCCACGACAAUCGGUGGUUGCGAAACCACGGUUGCCCGUCGUGUGCGGUCGUCGCGCAUCGAGGGCUCGAAAAAAUUGCCGGGUUCCGGCUCGGCUUUCAACGCGACCCCAGGUCAGGCGGGGUUACCCGCUGAAUUUAAGCAUAUCAAUAAGCGGAGGA